UGUUCCAUAGUUACAACGGUAGAAUAACUGCCUUGUAAGCAGAAGGUCUGGGUUCAAUUCCCAGUGGAACCU
rnacentral:tRNA from 1 species